rnacentral:rRNA from 1 species
AACAAGGUUUCCGUAGGUGAACCUGCGGAAGGAUCAUUAACUAUUUUGUUAAAACCAUGUUUUUUUGGCUGGAUUAAAAACCUAGUCAAUUUUUUACAUGUCUUCUUUCGGGGAAGAGAAAAAUAAAUCUACUGUGAAACAAUAUUUGGGGUUUGGCCAUAAAAAAAAAGUUACUUGGGCGAGCUUUCGAGUUCCCCUGGGUUAACGACAUAUUAUACUAUUGAUUUUUUAGUUUUAAAAUUGAAAACAAUCAGCCUAAAAAACUGAUUAAAACAACUUUUAACAACGGAUCUCUAGGCUCUCGCAUCGAUGAAGAACGUAGCAAAUUGCGAUAACUAUUGUGAAUUGCAUCUCGUGAAUCAUCAAGUUUUUGAACGCAUCUUGCACUCUUUGGUAUUCCAAAGAGUACACUUGUUUCAGUAUCAUAUUAACCCCCAACGCCGUAUGAUUUUAUUAUCAUUCUGGGCGGAAUUAUGUAUCCUUGGCCGAAGAAAGGUAUUAAGUUACCUGAGCGGCUUAAAUCUAUACUAGGCGAAAUGACCCGUUGGUUCAUUUUUCUGUUUGUAAAAUAAAUAUUAAUGUGUUUCUUAUUUUACGUUUAAGCAGAAUUGAAUCGUUAAGGGGCAUUUCUGGCCAACAAACACAUUAUUUUGAUCUGAAAUCAAGUGGGAUUACCCGCUGAA